rnacentral:lncRNA from 1 species
AGCACAGCUUUUUGGUCACCACUGUCAGGGCACUCACAGGUCACAGGUCAGCCUGUCACAUUGGAAGCUAGUAUGCUCUUGUAGCAUUCUGUGGAAAAAACAGAAACAUUCCCCCUUUUCCCCAUAUUAAGUAUCUGAACAGGAUCAUGGCAAGUGCCAAUAAGUGGAUCCUUUUUAUCUGCCCUAGACACUAUUCUAUCCAGUUUUUCCAAAACAAAUAUGUGAUCCAAAUAAUGUGCACGGGGAUAUAAUUUCUCUCCCCCUUCUUUGUUUUUAAAGAAGGUAUAGUUUUUAAAGUUUUACAAUACCUUCUCUUUGAGAAUUAUAAAAUAUCUCAGUAACAUGUGUAACAUUAAAUUGUUGACAAAACAUCUUUUGGAGGUUUUGAAAAUAAAAAUUUUGAAGCAAAUAAAUUUUUCUUUCUUAGAUUUUCUGUAACUAAGAUCUUAAAUAUUAAACAUGUUGCCUCUAAGUCUUAUGGAGCAACGAUUACUUUUCAGAACUUUAAACUUCUCUUUGGAGGCAUUAGCUAAUAGAAUACUUUUUUUUUUCACUUAGGAAACAAUAUACACUGAAAGAUUUAAACUUUGUUUCUUGUAUUGAAGCAGACAAUAAAAAUUUCAUACAUAUUGUAAAGCUAUGUUAGCCAUACCUACAGGCAAAAUUAUCUAGUGAUCACCAGUUCACUAAAAGUAAAACUCUUUGAAUUUAAGCAUUAUUUUAAACAUCUGAAUAGAUCUGUAACAAAGCUAAAAAGAACUUUUCUUGAACACAGGGAAAAACUUUCUUAGGCACUGUUUGCAAAAUAAAAGAAGGCCACAAUCUUCUCUGGGCUACAUUAACUUAAACGUAGAAUAUUUUUUAAUCUGAGCAUCUUGGCCCUCCUGUAAUAAGGACCAGUUUUAGAGGAACAAUUUAACUGUCUAUGCCUCUAAUUUUUGAUACUCUUUCUUAAGGAUGAUUACUCUUAUAAUUAUCUUAAUUACAAUAUACAGGUGAAUUAAAGAUCUUAAAUUUGUAAUCAAACUGCAAGCUGCAGUCAAUGGAACACUGGCAAUUUUAACCAUAAUUUUUAAGUUUUCGUUGUAAUAUUAGAAUGUAUCUAUAACUUUUGAAAAGUAAGAACCAAUUUUAAACAAUUUAUUUUUCUUAAAAUUAAUAUUAGAAACAUCACUAUCACGUUACGAAGUUUGGCUGUCAAUUUAUGAAUGCAUGACAGUGUAAAUUUUAAUGUUUUAUUAAAGAGACAUUGUUUUAAAAUCUUAUCUCUAUUAGUCUACUUUCUGGGAUAAGAAUUACACAAAAUUUUAUCUCAAUUUAGAAGUAUCUUUAGAGGACUAGUUUUCUGGGCUGUUUUAUGCCAGGUGCUUUUGUUUGAAAAUGACUCUAGCCCUGAGUUACUACUUAAGCUAACUUUGUAACCAGUGUUAUACCUUUUUAAUCAUAACCAAAUAACUUAUAAGCCAAUUCUCUAUGACCAAGAUAUGUAGAUCAUAUUUAUACCUUUAAGACCAAUCAAAAACCAAAUGAAGUGGCUUUACGAAUCUUAUAAAUUUAGAUCAAUUAAAGACUUUUACUUUUUAUAGCUAUACUUAUAAGAUAAAAACACACUUUGUCAUUUGCUAAACACAAUAAUCACAAAAUUGCAGAGAAUUUUUUAGGAAAAAACAACUAUCAGCUUAUUUGCCUUAGAACUAAGAGGUUGUAGAUUCUAAGUUUUUCAGCAGGACCUCUCCUGCUGUGCUUGAUUUUUAGCUAAAGGGAGGGGCCUCUCUCAGCCUCCGUUGUGCAAACUGAGAGUGAUUUAGCAGGUAAAGUUUUUACCAUUUUUUUUUCUUUUCUUUUUAACAUGAAACAUAAAACAGCCAGUCAUUCAGACAAUGAAACAAUCAUUCAGACAACGAAACAGAAAACAUACAUGAAUUGACACGUGAUUGGUGCACCAACCAUAGACAAUAGAAAGAGGGUAGAGAGCUUCUCCUGUAGGGGCCAGAGAGAAUAAAACAGGGCGUCCCCCGAUUUCUCUCUGUCCCUGGGAGAGUUUUAAAAUCCAUUUCUCUAUUUUUUUCUUUCCUUUCCUGCUUGUAAGAGGCAGCUUGUCAAACCAAGAUUAAAAUCCAAAAUUUUCUAACAGCUUCUGGCAAGCAUCCAAAACUUCUAAUUUAUUUAAUUAAUCUGAGGGCAAAUUUUUGAGAAAACACACAAUCUCUAUACACUAAAUGUCUCAAAUAGCCUAAAAGUUUACCAUGCUAAAUCUUUUUUGAAGUCAUUAUUAGUCCACACUUAGUUAAAUAUUUUAUAGCCAUCUGUAAAAACGCUCUCUAUUUUCUGCAACCAACAAAAACACCAUUGACAAAAUGAAUUAUAUAGUUUUAGGAAAUGAUUUCUUAACUUCCAAUAAAACCUAAUCUAUGAAUUUUUUGACCUUUACGAAGUCUCUUUAAAACCCAUUUUUAUUUACUCUAAACAUGUUAUUGCAAAUCUCUAGCAAGGGCCUCGAAGCAUGCCUGGGCCCAACACACAACUUCUUACCCCAGAGAGUUCUGUCAAGGCAAGCUGAACUGACUCAAGGGGAAGCUGCCUAGCGUCUGAAAGCAGGGUAAAUUUUUCAAAUAAGGCUAUGCCCUCAUAAAAGGGUGGGGAA